UACGGGGGGGGCGAGCGUUGUUCGGAAUUACUGGGCGUAAAGGGUGCGUAGGCGGUGCGCUAAGUCGGAUGUGAAAACUCUGGGCUCAACCCAGAGCCUGCAUCUGAUACUGGCGUGCUAGAGUUCUGGAGGGGGUAGCGGAAUUCCUGGUGUAGCGGUGAAAUGCGUAGAUAUCAGGAGGAACACCGGUGGCGAAGGCGGCUACCUGGACAGAGUCUGACGCUGAGGCACGAAAGCUAGGGGAGCAAACAGG
rnacentral:rRNA from 1 species